rnacentral:rRNA from 1 species
GAUGAACGCUAGCUACAGGCUUAACACAUGCAAGUCGAGGGACCGGCGCACGGGUGAGUAAUACGUAACUAACCUGCCUUUUACUCGGGGAUAGCCUUUCGAAAGAUAGAUUAAUACACGAUAUAAAGGAUGGGGAUGCGUUCCAUUAGGUUGUUGGUGAGGUAACGGCUCGCCAAGCCUUCGAUGGAGAGGGGUUCUGAGAGGGAGGUACACGAGGGUGGAACUGAGACACGAUCGAAACUCCUACGAGAGGUAGAAGAAAGGAAUAUUGGUGAGUGGGAGCUGACCUGAACCAGCCAAGUAGAGUGAAGGAUAAAGGCUUAGGGGUCGUAAACUUCUUUUAUAUAAGAAUAUGUAUUAGAUGAAUAAGGAUCGGCUAACUCCGUGCCAGCAGCCGCGGUAAUUC